rnacentral:rRNA from 6 species
AAAUUGAAGAGUUUGAUCAUGGCUCAGAUUGAACGCUGGCGGCAGGCCUAACACAUGCAAGUCGAACGGUAACAGGAAGCAGCUUGCUGCUUUGCUGACGAGUGGCGGACGGGUGAGUAAUGUCUGGGAAACUGCCUGAUGGAGGGGGAUAACUACUGGAAACGGUGGCUAAUACCGCAUAACGUCGCAAGACCAAAGAGGGGGACCUUCGGGCCUCUUGCCAUCAGAUGUGCCCAGAUGGGAUUAGCUAGUUGGUGAGGUAACGGCUCACCAAGGCGACGAUCCCUAGCUGGUCUGAGAGGAUGACCAGCCACACUGGAACUGAGACACGGUCCAGACUCCUACGGGAGGCAGCAGUGGGGAAUAUUGCACAAUGGGCGCAAGCCUGAUGCAGCCAUGCCGCGUGUAUGAAGAAGGCCUUCGGGUUGUAAAGUACUUUCAGCGGGGAGGAAGGUGUUGUGGUUAAUAACCACAGCAAUUGACGUUACCCGCAGAAGAAGCACCGGCUAACUCCGUGCCAGCAGCCGCGGUAAUACGGAGGGUGCAAGCGUUAAUCGGAAUUACUGGGCGUAAAGCGCACGCAGGCGGUCUGUCAAGUCGGAUGUGAAAUCCCCGGGCUCAACCUGGGAACUGCAUUCGAAACUGGCAGGCUUGAGUCUUGUAGAGGGGGGUAGAAUUCCAGGUGUAGCGGUGAAAUGCGUAGAGAUCUGGAGGAAUACCGGUGGCGAAGGCGGCCCCCUGGACAAAGACUGACGCUCAGGUGCGAAAGCGUGGGGAGCAAACAGGAUUAGAUACCCUGGUAGUCCACGCCGUAAACGAUGUCUACUUGGAGGUUGUGCCCUUGAGGCGUGGCUUCCGGAGCUAACGCGUUAAGUAGACCGCCUGGGGAGUACGGCCGCAAGGUUAAAACUCAAAUGAAUUGACGGGGGCCCGCACAAGCGGUGGAGCAUGUGGUUUAAUUCGAUGCAACGCGAAGAACC